GUUUCGGCAAGGGGGUCAUCCCGACUUACCAACCCGAUGCAAACUGCGAAUACCGGAGAAUGUUAUCACGGGAGACACACGGCGGGUGCUAACGUCCGUCGUGAAGAGGGAAACAACCCAGACCGCCAGCUAAGGUCCCAAAGUCAUGGUUAAGUGGGAAACGAUGUGGGAAGGCCCAGACAGCCAGGAUGUUGGCUUAGAAGCAGCCAUCAUUUAAAGAAAGCGUAAUAGCUCACUGGUCGAGUCGGCCUGCGCGGAAGAUGUAACGGGGCUAAACCAUGCACCGAAGCUGCGGCAGCGACGCUUAUGCGUUGUUGGGUAGGGGAGCGUUCUGUAAGCCUGUGAAGGUGUGCUGUGAGGCAUGCUGGAGGUAUCAGAAGUGCGAAUGCUGACAUAAGUAACGAUAAAGCGGGUGAAAAGCCCGCUCGCCGGAAGACCAAGGGUUCCUGUCCAACGUUAAUCGGGGCAGGGUGAGUCGACCCCUAAGGCGAGGCCGAAAGGCGUAGUCGAUGGGAAACAGGUUAAUAUUCCUGUACUUGGUGUUACUGCGAAGGGGGGACGGAGAAGGCUAUGUUGGCCGGGCGACGGUUGUCCCGGUUUAAGCGUGUAGGCUGGUUUUCCAGGCAAAUCCGGAAAAUCAAGGCUGAGGCGUGAUGACGAGGCACUACGGUGCUGAAGCAACAAAUGCCCUGCUUCCAGGAAAAGCCUCUAAGCAUCAGGUAACAUCAAAUCGUACCCCAAACCGACACAGGUGGUCAGGUAGAGAAUACCAAGGCGCUUGAGAGAACUCGGGUGAAGGAACUAGGCAAAAUGGUGCCGUAACUUCGGGAGAAGG
rnacentral:rRNA from 1 species